UUAAAACUAGAGAGGAUCUAGGAACUGGAGCUGCUGCCUCUGUCUGCUAAGAUGUGAAGUCCAAGACUGAAAGUAACAUAGCAGAAGGAGAACCAAAAGAUAUGUUGAGUCUUGAUGCUAUUUGUUGAACCAGUCCUGAAUCCAGCUGUGUCGGAGUCAGCGCAGCUUUUGAAGCUGGAGAGCAUCAUAUUUUAGAAAGAUCAAGCAAUGUGGAUGAGGACACAUUAAAAAGAGAAGACCGAGAGGAGGGGACACCACUCAGGCUUAUAACCUCCAGCUCACAUUUCAGCACCAAAGGACCAAAGCCUAGACCUGAGAUCUGGCACUUGCAAAAAGAAAGAUCACCUGGAAGAACAAAAUAGAAGACUCCUGCUCCCAAUAGGCUUGGGUCAGGAAGAAGGCUGUUGGCAUAAUUGUGGAGUAGGAAGAUGGAAAACAACUCCUAGAGAUCCCAACAGCUGAACGCGUGCUUGGGCAGUGGCUGCGGGUGAAGUCAUGGGAAGGCAAGUCAUGAAGGGCAUUAAUCAAGGUUAUUUUUUCCACAGAUGAAUUUCUAAUCCUAAAUAAUCAUUUACAUGAAUUCAGAUUUUUUUGAUCCAGGAUAUGUUCUGGGAGUAACUCCCCUGCUUUCCCUGGAUGUGUGCGAGAAAGCAUAGGCAUCCACUUUCUGACCAACAGGAGACCCAGUCUCAGGAUGGAGCAGACACCAUGCAUGGUAGAGCAGAGAGACAGAUACAACCUAGGUCCUUGAUGAAAUGAUUGGCCACUGGAUCAGCCACAGUUAAAGACUGCCUACCUUUGGACUUCUGGUUAUCUUAGGCCAAAAAUGUCCUUUUUGUUUAAGGCACUUUGAGCCGGGUUUUCUAAGACCUAGCAGUCUCAACCAUCCAAACUAAUAAGCUGAAUUAACUAGAUUUCCUGUCAUGUCCUUCCUGCCUGAUUGGUAGCCCUUGACUCCAAUUUGGCCUCAUUUUCCGUACCUUACUGGCUGCCUUUUCCUCUACUCAUAGGUCACUUGGAAAUAAAAUAUAGAU
ensembl:lncRNA LHFPL3-AS1 LHFPL3 antisense RNA 1